rnacentral:rRNA from 1 species
AUUGAACGCUGGCGGCAUGCCUUACACAUGCAAGUCGAACGGCAGCGCGGGAGCAAUCCUGGCGGCGAGUGGCGAACGGGUGAGUAAUAUAUCGGAACGUGCCCAGUAGUGGGGGAUAGCCCGGCGAAAGCCGGAUUAAUACCGCAUACGACCUGAGGGUGAAAGCGGGGGAUCGCAAGACCUCGCGCUACUGGAGCGGCCGAUAUCAGAUUAGCUAGUUGGUGGGGUAAAGGCCUACCAAGGCAACGAUCUGUAGUUGGUCUGAGAGGACGACCAGCCACACUGGGACUGAGACACGGCCCAGACUCCUACGGGAGGCAGCAGUGGGGAAUUUUGGACAAUGGGCGCAAGCCUGAUCCAGCAAUGCCGCGUGCAGGAAGAAGGCCUUCGGGUUGUAAACUGCUUUUGUCAGGGAAGAAAUCUUCUGGGCUAAUAUCCCGGGAGGAUGACGUACCUGAAGAAUAAGCACCGCA